AUGACGGACAGCCUGGGCUUUGGGCUGGCCAAGUCCAUGGUGGACGGCGCGCUGACCAACGUCAAGUCGGCGAUCCAGGAGGAGGCCAAGCUGCGGCGGAGCGCAAAGCGUGACCUGGUGCUCAUCACCGACGAGUUCGAGAUGAUGCGCUCCUUCUUCGUGGACGCCACUGCAGAGCGCGUGGACAGCCAGGUGGCCAUGACCUGGGUGAGGCAGGUGCGGGACCUGGCCUAUGACGUGGAGGACUGUAUCGGCUUCGUUGUCCACCUCGACCAGGGGACGAGGUGGUGGUGGCGCAUGGUGCCCUCGUGCAUGGCGCCCGCCAUUCCCCUCAACGAGGCGGUCGAGGAGAUCGACCAGCUCAAGGCCAGGAUGGAGUGCGUGUGCAUCAGGAAUACGCGCUACAAUCUCAACGGCGGCAACGUCGGAUCCAAUCCUCCCGCCGUCACCGCGUCCAGCUCCAGCAUGCUCGCCCUGGCGAGGGACGCCGCCAGGAGGCAGCAAGGCCCGGGGGACCUCACGCAGCUCAUCACCAACAAAGGCAACGCCGACCCUCAGCUCCUGCAGGUGAUCUCCGUGUGGGGGACCGGCGGCGAUCUCGGGACCACCUCCAUCAUCCGCAAGGCGUACAACGACCCAGAAAUCUGCCAGAACUUCGCCUGCCGCGCCUGGGUCAAGCUCACGCAUCCCUUCAACCCCGACGACUUCUUGCGCCACUUCAUGGCUCAGGUCUACGCCGCGGACGCCUGCCGCUCCGGCGAGCUACAAGGAGCAGACGUGGGCGCACAUGUGCUCACCAAAAUGAAGGGCAAGCACGAGGAGGAUCUCCUCAGGGAGUUCGUGCACCAGGUCAACACCAAGACGUACCUCGUCGUCUUGGACAACCUCACCGACAUGCUGGAUUGGGAUGCUGUGAGGACCUUCCUUCCGGACAUGGGGAAUGGCAGCUGGAUCAUCGUGUCCACGCAUCAUUUUGAGAUCGCAAGCUUGUGCAUCGGACACUCGUACCAACCGAUGGAGCUCAAGCACUUCUCAUCUAAUCACUCGGUUUGCGCCUUCUUCAAAGAGGGUUCUCAACACUACGGAGAUAUACACUUGGAAUCAGUUGCGUCUCAAGUGAGCCAAAAUUCCUCCUAUGGAGAAAUCCCCUCCGAUAGCGAAGCCGUCGCAGAUUGGAUGAGCAAUCAUCCCCUUGUUGGGCGCGACUCGGAGAUGAAUGAACUUCGCAGGUAUACAGCUCAGGCACGUUUUAGCCAUUCCCAGGUGGUAUCUGUUUGGGGGAUAGCCGGCAUUGGAAAAUCAGCUCUUGUUAGAAACUUGUACUGUGACAGAAUGCUCCACACCAACCAGUUCAACAAGUACAGCUGGGUGGAUGUGGAUGUAUCCCAUCCUUUCAAUCUAAGAGAUUUUUGUCGAGGCUAA
rnacentral:rRNA from 1 species